AAACUGGAGAGUUUGAUUCUGGCUCAGAAUGAACGCUGGCGGCGUGCUUAACACAUGCAAGUCGAACGAGAAAGGUUGUGCUUGCACGGCCGAGUAGAGUGGCGAACGGGUGAGUAACACGUAGAUAAUCUACCUUUAAGAUAGGGAUAACUAUUCGAAAGAGUAGCUAAUACCUGAUGAAGUCUAUGAGGCUUAGGUUUUGUAGAUGAAAGGGUGCUUUAUUGCAUCUGUUUAGAGAUGAGUCUGCGUACCAUUAGUUAGUUGGUGUGGUAAAGGCAUACCAAGGCGAUGAUGGUUUUUUUCCUGUGUGCGAUUUAAGCGAUAGACCAAAAUCAUCAAAUAUGUCAGGUAUCAAGGAGUUUGGUCUAUCUUAUGAGGCUGAUCCUGCAAUAACUCGACAUCUUGCCAAAUUUCUCUCAACUCACAGGGAUCAAGAUGGAAAUCCGAUGCUGCCAACUGCU
rnacentral:rRNA from 1 species